UGCGAGUGUAUGCUGUGUGUAUAUGAGGUCCUCAAGGAGGGCAGAAGUGGGAUAUUGUAAGAACAACUGCAAGCCUCUCCCAGCCCAGUGGUGUUUGUGGCCAGCACAUAGGUGUGUGAUUUACCAGCACCCGGUAGGGUGUGAAAAGCACAUUAGACUGGCUGGCUGGGUAUAUCAUUUGGUGAUUCCUCAGAGUUACAGACAAGCACUGAGAAAGGCCUUUCACAGUGAUGAAUUAAAAACUUAUACUCAUCUGCUGAACAAAUUGUCACUGAGCAUCUCUGAGUCAUUGGUGCCAAACAUGGGAUUCAUGGGAAGGGGAACAAGCUAAUGAAAGAAAAAUAGAUUUAUUCUACAUGGAAACAAAUGCUACUUUAAGCUUGGGUUUUUUUUUUUUUUUGUUUUUU
rnacentral:lncRNA from 1 species